CUGAAACAACUCGAGGAGACUUGAAUAUUGUCCCUGUAAAGCAUUCACAUCUCAAGCAUAGGAAAAGAGCACUCUUUGAUAUGCACAUAGCAUUACCAGAAUACCAUCUUAAAGUCUUCAGCACACUGAGAUACUAUCUCCAUUUUAAGAUGGAAAAUUAAAGCAACUUCAUUAUGGUCAGACAGAAAGCCUCAGGCACAGUGGGGAAUCCAGCCAGGUCUGACAUCCCAUGCUAACACCUUGCUCAGCAGACCAUCCACCAGCAAAGAGACCAUGAAGAACCAGCGUACAACUGCCAAACAGGUCAAACUCGAUAGCUUUUGAAAAGCAUCAGAGCUUCACUGCUUGUGCACAGCAAACUGGGUUGAGCCCAUACAGCCCUAGUCUCUGUGCUCUCAGGAUUAUUACAGAAAAGGUAAGCCAGAUAACUCAGGUGGACUGCAGUGAUCCUGCAUAUCGUUCCAGAGGCACCAAGGGAUCUCUUUUCUGGGAGAGGCUGGUCUUGUACUGCAGGGACCACAGAUUUGCAGGCAUUCCAGGCUCAUCCCGUGGUUGCUCUGACCCAAGCAGCAGCUCUGCAGGGGAAAAGCAAAGGGCCCCUAAAGCCUUGUUCCCAGCUCCCCUCCGCAGGAACGGCCGCGCUGACUGAUGCAUCAGCCCACAUGUCAGACAUGGACCAAGGGACUCACUGACCAGAGAUAUUCCCUCCAUCACUUAAUUGCUUUAAGGCAAAGA
rnacentral:lncRNA from 1 species